rnacentral:tRNA from 1 species
AGCCCCGUAGUGUAGUGGCCAAGCACGGCAGGCUUUGGACCUGUUGGCGGAGGUUCGAAUCCUCCCGGGGCUA